GUUCUUUGUGAAAUCAAGCCAAAUUUCUUCCAUUUUGGGGUGGAAUUGGUAAAGGGAACAAUGGGGAAUGUUUUCUAGGUGGUGAGUGGCUUCAACUCGCCGAAAAACCACCAUGAUAGGCAUUGGAAAACAUGGAUGCCAUCGGGUCGGGUCGCAGGUUGUUAGGGGAUCUAGUUUGGGGUGGUUUUCUCUCCCUCCUUUCCCUUCCUUUCUUCCCCCUCUAAUUGGCCCAAUUCUCUUUUUAUUUUUAUUUUUCAAACAACUAAAACAUCUCUAAUUUCUUCAUUUCAACUUCAAUUCGCGAACUGUUUUUGCCUACGCACUCGUAGGAUCAAACUCUAUCCAAUUAUACUUAGUGUGACCCCAUAAAGUCCACUUUUAAUGAUUACUGACCAAAAUUCAAACUUCGUAAUUAGUUUAAUUAAAAUCUAAAUUUAAUAUAAGGGUAAAAGACUGUUUACUACCCUCAUGUUUUGUGGUUUUCAACAUUUAGUACAUCAAGUUUUUUUCGUCUCAGAGUCAUACCUAAAGUGUAAAUUUUAGGACAGUCUCAUACAUCCGUUAGUCAAAGUGUUAAGUAUUCCGUUAAUUGAUGAUGUGGCGCCCACGUGGACAAUGACUGAGCGCCACCUGUCAAUAAGGGGUCCACUUGGAAUUAAAAAUUGAAAAAAAAAAUAUUAAAAUAAUUACUUUUAAAAAUAUUAUAUUAAAAAAAAAGCCCAAAACCAACCCAGAACCCCCUUCCUCCAUCCCCACCCUCCACCCCUCAUCCCCUCCACCCCUUUCAUCUUCUCCACCCGAGCACCCGGGUAUUAAACAUUAAACAUUACAAAAUUACAAAAAAAAAUAAUAAUAAAGGUGUUUCUUCCUAAAACCCCCGACCCCUUUCCCUUCUCCCUCCGUUCUCCUUCCCUUCUAUUCGCUGCACAUCCAUCGGGCCGAAUCGAUUCCUUCAACUUCAAAACCAGAAAUCUCGCCUCAACAACGAGCUUUGACCCACAUAAAUCCUCAACCACCACAUUCAAAUUCCCCAAAUCGCACCCAAAUCCAAACCCAUUCAUGGCGUUAAAGAAAUCGGGGUGGUGGGAAUGAGUUGCAAAUCUAGAGGAAGGAGUUGCAGAUCUGGGUGGAAGACAGGCCGCCAUGAAAAGAGGAAGGAGUUGCAGAUUUGAAGGAAGAACUCGUGGGUGAGUUGGAAGGCGAAACAGUUGAGGUUCGAGUGGAGAUGUGACUCGGGCGAGUUCUGUUGAAUGGUGCAAACCCGGAGGAGGUGGGCCUGGUCAAUCGGGGAUGGGGUGGCGGCGGCGACUUGGGUGGGAGCAGAGGAGAGAAGGGAGGGAGAAGGGAGGGAGGGUCAUUUGGGGGGGUUCAGGAAGAAGACAACUUCUAAAAAAAUAUAUAUAUAAUAUUUUUUAAAUUAAUUAUUUUAAUAUUUUUUUUGAAUUUUUAAUUCCAAGUGGACCCCUUAUUGACACGUGGCGCCCAGUCAUUGUCCACGUGGACGCCACGUCAUCGAUUAACAGAAGACUUAACAGUUUGACUAACAGAUGUAUGAGACUGUCCCAAAAUUUACACUUUAGGUAUGACUGAGACGAAAAAAACUUGAUGUACUAAAUGUUGAAAACCAUGAAACAUGAGGGUAAUAAACAAUCUUUUACCCUUAAUAUAAAUUCCCAAAAAUAAUAUAAAAUAUCCUUAAUACAAAUACGGAGUUUGCAAUAGUGAA
rnacentral:lncRNA from 1 species